UACGGAGGGGGCGAGCGUUAUUCGGAAUUAUUGGGCGUAAAGGGCGCGUAGGCGGCUGUACAAGUCAAAGGUGAAAUCCCUCGGCUCAACUGAGGAACUGCCUUUGAAACUGUACGGCUUGAGGCCGGGAGGGGGUAGCGGAAUUCCCAGUGUAGCGGUGAAAUGCGUAGAUAUCUGGAGGAACACCGGUGGCGAAGGCGGCGUCCUGGACCAACACUGACACUGAUGAGCGAAAGCCAGGGGAGCAAACGGG
rnacentral:rRNA from 1 species